UACAGAGGUCUCAAGCGUUGUUCGGAUUCAUUGGGCGUAAAGGGUGCGUAGGUGGCUUGGUAAGUCGGAUGUGAAAUCCCCGGGGCUCAACCCCCGGAACUGCAUUCGAUACUGCCAGGCUGGAGUACUGGAGAGGAGAUUGGAAUUUUACGGUGUAGCAGUGAAAAUGCGUAGAUAUCGUAAGGAAGACCAGUGGCGAAGGCGGGAUCUCUGGACAGUUACUGACACUGAGGCACGAAGGCCAGGGGAGCAAAACGGG
rnacentral:rRNA from 1 species